rnacentral:rRNA from 1 species
AUUGAACGCUGGCGGCAGGCCUAACACAUGCAAGUCGACCGAGCGGCGGACGGGUGCGUAAUGUCUGGGUAACUGCCGGAUGGAGGGGGAUGACUACUGGAAACGGUAGCUAAUACCGCAUACCAUCAGAUGUGCCCAGAGGUGAGUAGCGAGUCGGUGGGGUAACGGCUCACCUAGGCGACGAUCCCUAGAUGGUCUGAGAGGAUGACCAGCCACACUGGAAAUGAGACACGGGCCAGACGACUACGGGACUGAGAAGGGGGGAAGGUGGCACAAUGGGCGAAAGCCUGAUGCAGCCAUGGCGCGGGUGGUAAGAAGGCCUUCGGGUUGCAAAGCACUUUCAGCGGGGAGGCGUUACCCGUAGAAGAAGCACCGGCUAACUCCGUGCCAGCAGCCGCGGUAAUUC